rnacentral:misc_RNA from 1 species
GCCCCUUCCAGAUCUCCCUCAACCUCGUGCAAAAAUCGGCCGUAAUUCCUCAACAGCAGCGGGUUCCCCGGAUCCGCCUUCAACAUCUUACGGUAAUAAUCCCCUAACCUCUCAUCCUCACCACCGCCGUCUCUGUCUCCGCCGCCUCCUUUCCCUCCUCCGAUCUUGCUCCCCUUCCCGAUCCCGCCGCCGGCGUACUCCGUCUCCUCCGGCGCCACCGCCGCCGACGACGACCGCCACAGAUCUGAGGAUCCGAGAAACAUCUCCUCCGUCUCUUCAUCUACAUCCUCCGCCGGAGGAGCCAGGCGGGCGGAGGAUGAAAUCCGGCUCGGCGUGAUGGAUCUGGCCAGAUCAGUGUCGGAUCUGGCGCGGCGGAGGGGGGUGGGGGUCGGGUGGAUGUCAAGAUGGAGGCAGGACUUGGUGCUGCGGGAUCGGCGGAGGAAGAUGGCGCCGGUGGCGGAGGUGUGAUCGGUGGCGGGAGAUCCGAGGAGCGGGGAAGGGAUGGAGGCGGUGCGGAUGGGGAUCGCAGCCUUCAUUGCUG